AAGGUUUUAAGUUAACUAAACUAUUAGCCUUCAAAGCUGAAAAUAAAUAUAUUAAUUUAAGCCUUA
rnacentral:tRNA from 1 species